UACGGAGGGGGCUAGCGUUGUUCGGAAUUACUGGGCGUAAAGCGCACGUAGGCGGACUGUUAAGUCGGGGUGAAAUCCUGGGGCUCAACCUCAGAAUUGCCUCCGAUACUGGCAGUCUCGAGUGCGGGAGAGGUGAGUGGAAUUCCCAGUGUAGAGGUGAAAUUCGUAGAUAUUGGGAAGAACACCAGUGGCGAAGGCGGCUCACUGGCCCGUAACUGACGCUGAGGUGCGAAAGCGUGGGAGCAAACAGG
rnacentral:rRNA from 1 species